rnacentral:piRNA from 1 species
UCCAGGUUAGUUUCCCUGGCAAGAGUGGGA